rnacentral:rRNA from 1 species
AGAGUUUGAUCAUGGCUCAGAACGAACGCUGGCGGCGCGCCUAAUACAUGCAAGUCGAGCGAGAAGACGUAGCAAUACGUUUGUAAAGCGGCGAACGGGUGAGGAAUACAUGGGUAACCUACCCUUGAGUGGGGAAUAACUAGCCGAAAGGUUAGCUAAUACCGCAUACGACUCUCGGUCUGCGGAUCGGGAGAGAAAGCGAUACCGUGGGUAUCGCGCUCUUGGAUGGGCUCAUGUCCUAUCAGCUUGUUGGUGAGGUAACGGCUCACCAAGGCUUCGACGGGUAGCUGGUCUGAGAGGACGAUCAGCCACACUGGCACUGCGACACGGGCCAGACUCCUACGGGAGGCAGCAGUAAGGAAUAUUGCGCAAUGGGCGACAGCCUGACGCAGCGACGCCGCGUGGGGGAUGAAGGUCUUCGGAUUGUAAACCCCUUUCGGCAGGGAAGAUGGAACGGGUAACCGUUCGGACGGUACCUGCAGAAGCAGCCACGGCUAACUUCGUGCCAGCAGCCGCGGUAAUACGAAGGUGGCAAGCGUUGUUCGGAUUUACUGGGCGUACAGGGAGCGUAGGCGGUUGGGUAAGCCCUCCGUGAAAUCUCCGGGCCUAACCCGGAAAGGGCGGAGGGGACUGCUCGGCUAGAGGAUGGGAGAGGAGCGCGGAAUUCCCGGUGUAGCGGUGAAAUGCGUAGAGAUCGGGAGGAAGGCCGGUGGCGAAGGCGGCGCUCUGGAACAUUUCUGACGCUGAGGCUCGAAAGCGUGGGGAGCAAACAGGAUUAGAUACCCUGGUAGUCCACGCCUUAAACGAUGGAUACUAAGUGUCGGCGGGUUACCGCCGGUGCCGCAGCUAACGCAGUAAGUAUCCCGCCUGGGAAGUACGGCCGCAAGGUUGAAACUCAAAUGAAUUGACGG